rnacentral:rRNA from 1 species
CCUACGGGUGGCAGCAGUGGGGAAUAUUGCACAAUGGGCGCAAGCCUGAUGCAGCCAUGCCGCGUGUAUGAAGAAGGCCUUCGGGUUGUAAAGUACUUUCAGCGGGGAGGAAGGGAGUAAAGUUAAUACCUUUGCUCAUUGACGUUACCCGCAGAAGAAGCACCGGCUAACUCCGUGCCAGCAGCCCCGGGCAUACGGAGGGUGCAGGCGUUAAUCCGAAUUUCUGGGCGUAAAGCGCAGGCAGGCGGUUUGUUAAGUCAGAUGUGAAAUGCCCGGGACCAACCUGGGAACUGCAUCUGAUACUGGCGAGCUUGAGUCUCGUAGAGGGAGGUAGAAUUCCAGGUGUAGCGGUGAAAUGCGUAGAGAUCAGGAGGAAUACCGGUGGCGAAGGCAGCCCCCUGGACGAAGACUGACGCUCAGGUGCGAAAGCGUGGGGAGCGAACAGGAUUAGAUACCCCAGUAGUC